GGGGCUAAUGUAAUAAACUGACAUAUGUAAAUAAAUAUGAGGUGCAGUGUAGGUCUUAAAGGUUAUACUAGUGUAUUAAAAGUGUUUCUUUGAAAGCAGUUCUUUUGUUGCGUUUUCCGUUUUGUACUACAAGUAGCAAAGUUUUUUUCCGUAGAAUUUCUUAUUUGUUUUAGAGCGGCAUAAUGGAUUAGAAUAUUCUAGAAAUAUAACUAUGCUGUAUGUGUAUGGAAAUUUAUUCUAUCUACUGUUAAAAUGUUCUCGAGGCUAUAACACUAGUUUUGAGUUGCAACUACAGGCGUUCCCCGAAUUUAAGUUUUUAAAACAGUAGUUAAAUAGAUCUUCAGUAGUUGAACGUACCUCAGCUUAGUUCACUUAUUUUAUUUAUUUCUUCUCUGAUAAUCAAGAUAUACUUAAUUCUUCUCCAAUCAGAAUGAGGAAAUUAAUAUGGGUGCUCUUAUUGGUUCUCUUACUUUGUGAAAUAAACAAUCAAUUUGCAGACGGAAAACGUGGAAAGCAUAAUCAGCGACACCAUGUUGCACAUAGACGAAAAUACGCACCACCACGGGCAGGUCCUAGUAAUUGUCGUUAUGUAAAACGAUGGAGAUCGAUUAAAAUUGGCCAUUAUCAUUUUGUGCGUCCGUAUUAUGUUCGUAUCUGUCAACAUGGUUAAUGACAAACAUUUAUUUUUAGUUUAUAAAAUUUUAGGAUAUUGACUGACGUUUCUUGAUUAUUUGCCCGCAUAGCGUUCUUCAUCUGUUUUUUAUUUUCUGUGUGUUAAAGCGGUCUUUCUUCAACAACUUCUCACUUCUAUUCUAAUAUAUCUUGUUGUUUCUUAUUUUUUCUCUGGGAAAAAUUAGUUUAUCGAUUUACUUCCCGCUUUGUUGUAAUUUUAACGAUAUAGGCAUGAUUUGACAUAUAACCAUAACACAUAUAACACGCGCCUUUAUGUGACCAAGGGUCAAGCUGCUACAGCUACAAUUGUGCACCUACAAAUUUGCCAGUCUUUAAAAGAAUAUAUUUUUAUAAGUCCCCGUUAUAUCUUCAGUAAAAACAACUUCAAGAAUUUUAAAUUCUCUGUUCCAAAAAAGUUUUUGUAUUAAGAUAUGAGCAACAAUCGUUGUUGUUCAGGGACUUGAAUACAUUUAAAAUAUUUUUGCCAAGGUUCACACUAAACAUCGAGCGCAACAAAGGCAGAAGUUAUUCCUAAGUAUAUAUUGCAAAAAUUUGUGUUUCCACACUUCCACUUUGUAUUUUACAAUAGAUCAUCAAUUAUUUCGUGUUAAUAAAAUACAGUAAGGUAGUUGAUGGGCUAGGAUAGUUUUAAGUCAAGAGAGAUUCGAACAACCGCGUACCCAAAUAAAGUCACUAACUACGCUACCACUAUAUACUUGACCUGGCACCUUGACAUAUUAGAAAUGUUUGCCAACAUCAAAAUUUUAAACUAUUGCAUACCUUGCUUGAUAGAAUGACAUUGAAUUUUUUCGCUAUUUUGUUCUCCAUGCCAUUUCAAUUCAGUCGUCAUUGCAUCGUUUUUACGCCAUAGAUAUUAAUAAUAACCAAACACCAACGUUUGUUAAAGUUGUAAAAUUUUAUCGCAGAUCUUGCUUCAAGUAUGGUCAAACUUCGGUAAGACUUUCAAGAGCUUAAUCCUUAAAAAUUCAAGAUGGUAAGGUCAUGUAAUACACAGCAUUAAGAUUACGUAUGAGCUACAGCUCUGACCUAAAUAUUAGAACCAUGGCAACUUUUUUGGCCGUUUACAAAGUUGGGAAGAAGCAUGAGCUUGAUCUAGGUCGACAAUAGUUUGCAAUUAAAAAUUUUGUCUGUUUGAUACCAUUUUAAAUUUAAAAUUUAAAGCAUAUCCCACAUUUUUUCCAUGACAUUAUGAUAUUUGUAAAGUGAUUUUCUAUCUAUAUUACAAUGCCCGUAUACGCUUGUCAGUCUGUCCGUCUGUCACGCAAAAUGGUAGCUUAGCUGCGACGGGAGAACCCGUGGUUUUUUUCCACGGGCUAACGACUAGUAUGCUUAUUUUUCUGAAGAAAAAAUAGCAGAAAAAGAAAAGUAACCCAACAAAAUAAGUAACAUAAGUAAGGUUGGGAUGAAAGUUACCCGUUGUAUAAAGAUGUCAUGAAGACCACAUGUGUCUAUGAAACCUGAUAGACAUUUAAAGACUGGACUUUCAGUUUAUUAGACCCUGACGUUGCUACUUUCUGGUUAAUAUGUAUUGUGUGUUUAUUGAUUUCUCUAAGGAGAGUAUCCUCAGAUUUACGAAAGAUGAAAAGAUGUGUCGAUAAAGAAAACAAGUUACUUUCGUGACGUAAAUUUCUUUUUUUUAUCUUAUCGUAUCUUUUCAGAUUCCCUCUUGUAUUAUUCGAUGAUUAAACUAAAUUACUUCUCAACAUUUUUGUGGGAUGUGAAACUCUGUUUAUCAAAUAUAUAUGCUUAAUCAUUGUUUUGUAAGUUUAUUAACUAUAGUCUCUAAAUUCGUCGAGUGAAGAGAUAUAAUCAAAUCACACUUUCGUUGUAUCUCAAUCGAAAUGAAGAAAUUGAUUUAUUUGUGCUUGAUGCUACUUCUACUUCUUCUUGUUUGUGAAAUCAACAACAACUUCAUAGAUGGAAAACACAGAAGACAUAUUCGCAAACAUCACUUAUCCCAACGGAGAUCAACAUUAACAGUCCUCCCACGGGCUCGACGAAAACAUUGUUAUUACGCAAGGCGAUGGAGAGUGUAUCGAUAUGGCAGAUAUGUUUUUCGACGCCCCUAUGUUGUGCGUGUUUGCGCAUAGGACUAACGACACUAGUAACUUUUUUGUAUUACAACUUUAUGUAUUGUUAUAGGAAAUGUGAAAUAUUAUUGAGUUACAUUGAAAACAUAACUUUCCGAAUAUUUUCUCUAACAA